rnacentral:pre_miRNA from 9 species
UCUCGAUCGCGUAAAAGUUAACUCAAAUUUGUAUGGAGUUGGAACGUUUGCCUACGUUUGCCGCUAGGGGCGCUGUUCCACUGAUCUGCAUACAAAUUUGAUUUAACUUUUACGCUAUCGA